UUAAGAAAUAUGAAUCUCAAUCAGAGGAGCUGAUGAAGAAGCUGAAAGUUCAAAUUGUUCACUUUUUUGAGGCUAAAGGAUCCUUUUUCCCAGACUUGGACUGCAGAUGGACUUUAUCACACAUGCUGCUGCCAGUGCUCUGAAGAGCCUUCAUGCUUUGCAUUGAUCUCAUAUCCUCUACAAGAAUCACUGAGAUCUUAAUGAGAGCAACAGUUAUUGUCUUUCCUUUACUCACAAAUUCAUUUUUAAUAAACCACCAGCAUCAGAGCACAGUACAGAGCACAUAUAUGUUUCAUGAAUACAGAGGAGGGAAAAUCUGUUGUCUUCUUAAUAAAAGACUUCAGAGCUCUCUCAGGUUAAACAGAUCAUUCGAACCUUCAUACAGGACACAAACUCCUGAUUUUGCCUCUGGGCAGUUAAAGUCUUGUUUAACUAUCUGCUGCACAUAUGCUGUUGAACUGUAGGUCACUUAUUCUUUGUUCUGUGGAUUCCUCAGGGCAACAGCACCAGUGUCUUGUACUGAUCGAAUCACUUCUUGCCAGAAUAAAAUAUCCAUACAUGAUUAUAACUGUGCUUCUUACUAACAGAGAGCAGAGGAGACACGAGGAGGCCUGAGAAGGGGACAGAUAGAGAAACUUUCCUUCAGCUUCCUAUGAUAGUGUAGAGAAGCACACACCCCCAUCACCAUCAACAGCGCUGCUGUGGAGAGUGGGAGCAGCUUCUGUUUCCUUGGUGUACAUCUGGCUGAGGAUCUCACAUGGUCAGUACACAUAAAGAAAACAGUGAAGAAGGCACAGCAGGGCCUCUUCUUUCUCAGGAGACUGAAGAGAUUCAGCAUGAAGCCCCGCAUCCUUAGGACCUUCUACUGCUGUGCCACUGAGAGCAUCCUCAUUGGAUGCAUCACCACCUGGUACGGCAACAGCACCGCUUACAACCACAAAGCUCUGCAGAGAGUGGUGCGGUGUGCAGAGUGGAUAAAUGGAGGUGAGCUUUCCUCCCACCGAGACAUCUGCAAGAAGCGGUGCCUGAGGAAAGUGGGAGAUGCAUCAAGGACUCCAGUCAGCCCAGCCAUAAAAUGUUCAGGCUGCUUCCAUCAGGCAGGAGCUUCUGCAGUAUCUGGUCUCAAACCAGCAGACCGAGAGACACUUUUUCCAUCAGGCCACCAGACUGCUGAACACUGACCACUGCCAUAGACACUUCACUGUCACUCACCCAAACUUGGACUCGUAUACUCCAUAUUGUACAGAAACGCCCUCUUUGCCCACUUUCCCUCUCUUCUCCUCUCUUUCUUUCCUUCAGUCACUUCUCGUUAGUCCACGGGGAUCAGUCCGGCCCAGGAGCCGGCGCCAGUCCCCUUCAAGGCCUUCCCCAAACCGCAGCACCAGUUCACACUUCCUCGUCCCUCAUCGCCCAUCGUUACAGAGGAUGUGGUCCUUGCUAGUAAAAUAUAUAUAUGUAUAUACACGCAACACACAUGUUUAAAAUGUGCAUAUUUAUUUUUAUAUUUAUUAUCUCUUAUAUUUAUUUAUUUUUUACUUCUGUAUUCCUGCAAACUAUUGCUUGUGCAGCUUGCACACAAGAAUUUCACUCACAUGCAAC
ensembl:lncRNA